AACCUCAAUGUGUACAACAGGCAUUCACGAAGCCUGAAAGGCAGGGACUUUUUUUUUUUUUAACCGGUAUGUGGAUAGAAGCGUUUCACAAUCCAGUGAGUUGUCCAGACAUUGCUGAGGAUAGACUACAAGGGCCUCAAGAAAAUGGGGGAACAGAACCCAGUGAUACUUCGGGACCCUCUGAACCUAGUACUGUCUACUUAUGAAUAAUAUGAUAAUA